UCUUUCGAUCUCUUCCAUUUAAUUGAAUAUUCAUCCAUAAACAUAGGGAAUGAGUGUCUAGGGAGUUUGGGAUGGUUUUCUUCGGUUUUAUUAGAACAUACUAUUGUGAAAUCGUUAAGAAAGAAAGACCUAUAAUCAUUAAUAGAGUGAAACUUUCUGUAAGCAUACUCACUGAGUUUGCUUUUGUCUAUUUAUGUCAGCUAGAUAUGACAGGUACUGAUAUCAGGAACUUACAAUUUGUUUGGAAGGUGACUAAAACCAAUUGCACUAUUCUGUCUAUUUUGUUAAGUAUAACAGGAAGCCAUUGCAACAAAAUUCCUUACUUCCUUGUUUUAUGUCUAAUAGAAGAAUGUUUUUUUUGUAAAGUUGUUUCUCAGGGCUUGACUCUGUGUUCGCUGUUCCUCUGAGCUAAAUCUGUUUGUUUGUGUGUGGGGGUCUGGGUGUGAAGAUCUCCAUCUACUGAAAAGCUUCGCCAUGUACUAAUUUUCGUAGUUUGUUGAACUUUGUAUGUUUUUAAAUCUUUUCUUUGGAAUUACCGAGGACAAAAUGCUGACCGUAUUAGGGUUCUUGCUGAUGUUCUAUGGUGUGGCUUCCGGUUUGCAGUCUGAGGAUCCUGUUGUCUGUAGAUUUACUAAAAAUGAUACAUGCUAUGUAGCUCGGGGACAGCAAGUUCACCUGCCAAUCCCUCUGGUGGAUAGUUUUAACCUACUCAUUGGAAAUCGUGUCAUUUUAAGAUUUAGAAAUAACACAAACACACCAACACCAAAUCCCUCGAGAUGGCUGUUUGAUAAAGAGAAUAAUACUAUGAUACCAGUGCAGAGUGGAGCGACUCUGAAACAUACACUUUAGAAACCUUUGUUGCAGAAGGAACUUCAAAAGGCAACUAUACUCUCCAGAUAUACAUAAAAGGUUUGCAGUCUGAGGAUCCUGUAGUCUAUAGAUUUACUGAAAAUAAUACAUGCUAUGUAGCUCGGGGACAGCAAGUUCACCUGCCAAUCCCUCUGGUGGAUAGUUUUAACCUACUCAUUGGGAAUCGUGCCAUUUUAAGAUUUAGAAAAAACACAAACACACCAACACCAAAUCGCUCGAGAUGGCUGUUUGUUAAAGAAACUAAUACUAUGAUACUAACCAGUGCAGAGUGGAGCGACUCUGAAACAUACACUUUAGAAACCUUUGAUGCAGAAGGAACUUCAACAGGCAAAUAUACUCUCCAGAUAUACAUAAAAGAUUUCAGGGUGUUUGUGUCUUUAUGGCUCUUUGAAAUGAUCAUCCUGCUGUCGCUGUUAGUGGGAGCAAAUUUAUACACCAGAAUCUCCAGGAAACAGAGAAUAAUUAAGAAUCAGGAAGCUCUUUAGGAAGAUUUCAUAAGAAGUUGAUCUCCUUCAUGCCAGCAAUUCAUCCACCCUGAGCCACCAGAAAUACACAAGCUUAAAUAAAAGAUGGUUAAGAGAGAAAAUAUUUGUAAUUACUCAAGUGCUACUUUUUUCCUUUCAUUGAAAUGUUUUUGAAUGUUUUAGUAUUUUUCUGUUUGUACACACAAAUGAUUGGCCAGUCAGUUGUGCAAAGUGUGAAUAAAAAUGAAGUAUUAAGCAUUAAUAUUAACCUCAUAACAUGACAACAAUACUGUUCCCCCUGGGAUUUCUAUGCACAUUUUCUAUGCAUUACGGGUUUCCUUGGGAUUUAAAAUCAAGGCAAAUUAUGUGUUUUGUGCAAAUUUU